rnacentral:rRNA from 1 species
CCGUAUCGGAUGAGUACACUUUAAAUCCUUUAACAAGGAUCAAUUGGAGGGCAAGUCUGGUGCCAGCAGCCGCGGUAACUCCAGCUCCAAUAGCGUAUAUUAAAGUUGUUGCGGUUAAAAAGCUCGUAGUCGAAUCUGUGUGCCGCGCCGCCGGUUCAUCGCUCGCGGUGUCCAACUGGCGUGUAA